UACGUAGGGGGCAAGCGUUGUCCGGAAUCAUUGGGCGUAAAGAGCGUGUAGGCGGCCAGGUAGGUCCGCUGUGAAAGUCCGAGGCUCAACCUCGGAAUGUCGGCGGAAACCCUCUGGCUAGAGUCCGGAAGAGGAGAGUGGAAUUCCCGGUGUAGCGGUGAAAUGCGCAGAUAUCGGGAAGAACACCCGUGGCGAAGGCGGCUCUCUGGAACGGUACUGACGCUGAGACGCGAAAGCGUGGGGAGCGAACAGG
rnacentral:rRNA from 1 species